rnacentral:lncRNA from 1 species
UCUCCAUUUUGUAAAUGCAAAUGUCACUUUAGUUACUGUUCCUUAGAAAACACAAGCCGGUUGAGCAGCUUUUGCAACUAAAGCUCCUCUAAUUCUGCAGGUGGUCCUUCGCGCUAAGAUGAACUUCCAUCUUUGCUCACAGUUGACUAGAUGGAGCUGUUCCAGUUUGAACUGUGGUACUGAGAUCUUGUUACCGAACACUGUCAUUGACAGAGAAAGCAGCGACGACUGGUGUCAGUAUGAGGAAAUAUCAACUCGGCAGGUUCCCAACAACGCUCCAUUUCUACUGAUGUAAGUACAAACUAGCUGAAGGUCAACAGUGUCUUUUUAAAUCGAACAAGCACAAAUAUUUAACAUUUAUUUAUCACAUUUUUUUUACAUUAGUAUGAUUAGGAGAUUUGCAAAUUGUAUCACCACUGUUAACUUACAAUGCAAGUUUUCCACACACACCAACAGUAGGGAAAAAACUCUAGGACACUAACACUGUAAAUGAUUUUUGACACGAAAUUUCAUUGAAGGUUGAGCGGUGGUUCAUGGGUAGGGAAUAAUAAUGGCAUCACUAAUUGGCGAGCUAUUACAGUGGUUGAUGUGAGAAACAGAUCUGACACCAACAAAGCCAACUCAUCACCACAGACCACCAUCCUGCCUCUUCUCAGGUGAGCAUCCAGAAAUGUGCUGAGGUUGAAGCUGAAACAUGUUGGUCAGCGCUGUCUUAACGUAAACUUAACCCCCCCUUCCUUCCAGAGUUCCUUCAAACUGUCAAAGAGACUUUAACCUCUUGGCCUUUGACUCUGAUGGAGAUAAUGUAAGAUGCAGAUAUGGAGAUGCAUCACUGUCAGAGUGUUACACCUGCACUCAACCACCUGUUCUCAACCUCUCAGCAUCCUGUACGUUGUCAUUCAGCCCAACAAGCAGCAGUAAUGAAGCAGCGUAUGUUGUUCAGAUGGUGAUGGAGGACUUUCCAAAGCAGAAUAUCACCCUGACUCAAACUAAUGGUUCACAGGAGAUGAAAAGCAACAAUGAUGCCGUCAGCAAGAUUCCAGUCCAGUUUGUUGUAAGCGGUGAGAUGUGUCUGACAGGCUGGACGUCAAUGAACAACAAGCUGCAACUAAGUUAGAAAAAUGUAAUCUCAUGACUGAGCUGAUCUUUAGUCCUUUAGUUUGGAUGAAAUAUGUGAUGAUUGAUGAACUCAGUAGGGAAAAUUUUUUUGUCACUGAGUUCAUCAAUCAACAUAUUUGGUGUAUUUGUUUCAGUGGAUCCUGUGGUGCCGUCCUGCA